GACGAACGCUGGCGGCGUGCUUAACACAUGCAAGUCGAACGGAAGGGCCCUGCUUUUGUGGGGUGCUCGCGUGGCGAACGGGUGAGUUACCCGUGAGUCUCCCGCCCUUGACUUUGGGAUAACUUCAGGCGACUGCGGCUACUACAGGAUAGGAGCUCCUGCUGCAUGGUGGUGGUUGGACCGCUUCGGCGGUGGUGGAUGGACUUGCGGCUUAUCAGCUUGUUGGUGGGGUAUUUGCUUACCAAGGGUUCGACGGGUAGCCGGCCUGGGAGGGGGGCCGGCGACCAUGGGCCUGCGAGACGGCGCAGACGGGUAUGGGGGGCAGCAGUGGAGAAUAUGGCACAAUGGGCGGAAGCCUGAGGCGGCAACGCCGCGUGCGUGAUGACGGCCUUCGUGUUGUAAACCGCAUUCGGCUGUGACGAAGCGUGAGUGACGGUAAUGGGUAAAGAAGCACCGGCUAACUACGUG
rnacentral:rRNA from 1 species